GAUGCUGUUUAGGUAGACUUUGAACACUCCCUCUUCACUUCUUGUCUGGGCGCCAAUGCCUCGGCAUUAGAGAAAGAGAUUGGUCCAGAACAGUUUCCAGUCAAUGAGCACUAUUUUGGAUUAGUCAAUUUUGGGAAUACCUGCUACUGUAAUUCAGUUCUUCAAGCACUUUAUUUUUGUCGUCCAUUUCGGGAAAAAGUU